rnacentral:rRNA from 1 species
GACGAACGCUGGCGGCGUGCUUAACACAUGCAAGUCGAACGGAAAGGCCCUGCUUUUGUGGGGUGCUCGAGUGGCGAACGGGUGAGUAACACGUGAGUAACCUGCCCUUGACUUUGGGAUAACUUCAGGAAACUGGGGCUAAUACCGGAUAGGAGCUCCUGCUGCAUGGUGGGGGUUGGAAAGUUUCGGCGGUUGGGGAUGGACUCGCGGCUUAUCAGCUUGUUGGUGGGGUAGUGGCUUACCAAGGCUUGGACGGGUAGCCGGCCUGAGAGGGUGACCGGCCACAUUGGGACUGAGAUACGGACCAGACUCCUACGGGAGGCAGCAGUGGCGAAUAUUGCACAAUGGGCGGAAGCCUGAUGCAGCAACGCCGCGGGCGGGAUGACGGCCUUCGGGUUGUAAACCGCUUUCGCCUGUGACGAAGCGUGAGUGACGGUAAUGGGUAAAGAAGCACCGGCUAACUACGUG